AUUGAACGCUGGCGGCAGGCCUAACACCUGCAAGUCGAGCGGAGCGGCGGACGGGUGAGUAAUGUCUGGGAAACUGCCUGAUGGCGGGGGAUAUCUACUGGAAACGGUAGCUAAUACCGCAUACUAUCAGAUGAGCCUAGGUCGGAUUAGCUAGUUGGUGGGGUAAAGGCCUACAAAGGCGAAGAUCCGUAACUGGUCUGAGAGGAGGAUCAGUCACACUGGAACGUAGACACGGUCCAGUCUCCUACGGGAGGCAGCAGUGGGGAAUAUUGGACAAUGGGCGAAAGCCGUGUCCAGCCAUGCCGCGGGUGUGAAGAAGGGCUUCGGAUUGUAAAGCACUUUAAGUUGGGAGGCGUUACCAACAGAAUAAGCACCGGCUAACUUCGUGCCAGCAGCCGCGGUAAUUC
rnacentral:rRNA from 1 species